ACUUAAAUAGUUUAAUAAAAAUAUUGAUUUGUGGGAUCAAGGUUAUGAUUCAUUCAUUUUAGGUA
rnacentral:tRNA from 1 species